UACGAAGGGGGCUAGCGUUGUUCGGAGUUACUGGGCGUAAAGGGCGCGUAGGCGGCGCACCAAGUCAGGCGUGAAAGCCCUGGGCUCAACCCGGGAAUUGCGCUUGAGACUGGUGUGCUUGAGUACGGGAGAGGAUAGUGGAAUUCCCAGUGUAGAGGUGAAAUUCGUAGAUAUUGGGAAGAAUACCCGUGGCGAAGGCGGCCGACUGGGCCGGAUCCGACGCUGAUGCGCGAAAGCGUGGGGAGCAAACAGG
rnacentral:rRNA from 1 species